rnacentral:rRNA from 1 species
UACGAAGGGGGCUAGCGUUGUUCGGAAUUACUGGGCGUAAAGCGCGCGCAGGCGGUUUUUCAAGUCAGUGGUGAAAGCCCGGAGCUCAACUCCGGAACUGCCAUUGAAACUGUAAAACUUGAGGACGAGAGAGGUGAGUGGAAUUCCCAGUGUAGAGGUGAAAUUCGUAGAUAUUGGGAAGAACACCGGUGGCGAGGGCGGCUCACUGGCUCGUAUCUGACGCUCAGGCGCGACAGCGUGGGGAUCAAACAGG